rnacentral:rRNA from 1 species
UACGUAGGUGGCAAGCGUUGUUCGGAAUUAUUGGGCGUAAAGGGCGCAUAGGCGGUUCGUUAAGUCAGUUGUGAAAGCCCGGAGCUCAACUCCGGAGAGUCGACUGAUACUGGCGGGCUAGAGUACGGAAGAGGUAGCUGGAAUUCCCGGUGUAGCGGUGAAAUGCGUAGAUAUCAGGAAGAACACCAAUGGCGAAAGCAGCUCUCUGGGACGGUACUGACGCUGAGACGCGAAAGCCAGGGGAGCAAACGGG